rnacentral:rRNA from 1 species
UACGUAGGGGGCAAGCGUUAUCCGGAUUUAUUGGGCGUAAAGAGCUCGUAGGCGGCCGUUCGCGUCGGAUGUGAAAGCUCAGGGCUCAACUCUGAGACGCCAUUCGAUACGGGACGGCUAGAGGUAGGUAGGGGAAAGUGGAAUUCCUGGUGUAGCGGUGAAAUGCGCAGAUAUCAGGAGGAACACCGGUGGCGAAGGCGGCUUUCUGGGCCUUACCUGACGCUGAGGAGCGAAAGCGUGGGGAGCGAACAGG